rnacentral:tRNA from 1 species
CAUUAAGAAGCUUCUAUAGCAUUAGCCUUUUAAGUUGAAGAAGAAAUACUAUUUCCUUGAUGA